rnacentral:rRNA from 1 species
CCUACGGGUGGCUGCAGUAGGGAAUAUUGGACAAUGGGCGAAAGCCUGAUCCAGCAAUGCCGCGUGAGUGAUGAAGGCCUUAGGGUUGUAAAGCUCUUUUACCCGGGAUGAUAAUGACAGUACCGGGAGAAUAAGCUCCGGCUAACUCCGUGCCAGCAGCCGCGGUAAUACGGAGGGAGCUAGCGUUGUUCGGAAUUACUGGGCGUAAAGCGCACGUAGGCGGCUAUUCAAGUCAGAGGUGAAAGCCCGGGGCUCAACCCCGGAACUGCCUUUGAAACUAGAUAGCUUGAAUCCAGGAGAGGUGAGUGGAAUUCCGAGUGUAGAGGUGAAAUUCGUAGAUAUUCGGAAGAACACCAGUGGCGAAGGCGGCUCACUGGACUGGUAUUGACGCUGAGGUGCGAAAGCGUGGGGAGCAAACAGGAUUAGAUACCCGAGUAGUC